UACGGGGGGGCAAGCGUUGUUCGGAAUUACUGGGCGUAAAGGGCUCGUAGGCGGCCAACUAAGUCUGAUGUGAAAUCCCCAGGCUUAACCUGGGAACUGCAUCCGAUACUGGAUGGCUUGAAUCCGGGAGAGGGAUGCAGAAUUCCAGGUGUAGCGGUGAAAUGCGUAGAUAUCUGGAGGAAUACCGGUGGCGAAGGCGGCAUCCUGGACCGGCAUUGACGCUGAGGCGCGAAAGCCGGGGGAGCAAGCGGG
rnacentral:rRNA from 1 species